AAAGUAAAGGUAGAGACUUGUUAAAGUUCCAGCCUCUUAAACACUUUUUUUUCUUCUUUUGAGAGCAGCAAAAUGAAGGGGAGGAGAAUAGCUACACCUGUUGUCAUUCAGAAUUAUGAGUAAUGGAGACUUUGGUGAUUCAGAUCUCUGAUGUGUGACUGGGGUGGGAAACUUGUACAAGGUAAACUCAAUAUGAUUACUACUGGCAUAAUUUCAACUGACUUCUAUGAAGAAGAUUUCACUGUCACCUGAAGUCACAGCCUGGAGCUGUCAUUAUGGAAAGCCCCCAAAAGGAGCUUGGAAUAUCUUGGGAGGAUUUCUUAAAUCGUAUGAAAAAAGAGAGGUAAUACACAACUUAGAAAAAAACUGUGAUCUUGAAGAGAAAUUUUUUAUAUAUAGAAGUUUCUAUGAAAACCUUACCCUAAUAUCAUGAAUAAAGAAGAGAAGCUGGGCUGUACUUCCAGCACUUGGAAGCCUGAAGCAGGAGGAUCGUCAUGAGUUUGAGGCCAGCCUGAGCUACAUGUGAGUUCAAGGAUAGGCUGAACUAUAUAAUAAGACACUGUUUAAAAAAAAAAAAAAAGAGAGAGAAAUAAAGAAAGAAAUGGAG
rnacentral:lncRNA from 1 species